GACGAACGCUGGCGGCGUGCUUAACACAUGCAAGUCGAACGGAAAGGCCCUGCUUGCAGGGUACUCGAGUGGCGAACGGGUGAGUAACACGUGGGUGAUCUGCCCUGCACUUCGGGAUAAGCCUGGGAAACUGGGUCUAAUACCGGAUAGGAGCCAUUUUUAGUGUGAUGGUUGGAAAGUUUUUUCGGUGUAGGAUGAGCUCGCGGCCUAUCAGCUUGUUGGUGGGGUAAUGGCCUACCAAGGCGGCGACGGGUAGCCGGCCUGGGAGGGUGGACGGCCACAUUGGGACUGAGAGACGGCCCAGACUCCUACGGGAGGCAGCAGUGGGGAAUAUUGCACAAUGGGCGCAAGCCUGAUGCAGCGACGCCGCGUGGGGGAUGACGGCCUUCGGGUUGUAAACUCCUUUCGCUAGGGACGAAGCUUUUUGUGACGGUACCUAGAUAAGAAGCACCGGCUAACUACGUG
rnacentral:rRNA from 1 species